rnacentral:rRNA from 1 species
GUGAAAUUGUUGAAAGGGAAACGCUUGAAGUCAGUUAUGUUGGCUAGGGAUCAACCUAGCUAUUUUUGCUGGGUGAAUUUUCUAGUCUGACAGGCCAACAUCAGUCUUGACUGCUGGAAAAGAGCAGAGGGAAUGUGGCACCUUUGGGUGUGUUAUAGCCCUUUGUCAUAUGUAGCAGUUGGGACUGAGGGAUGCAGCGUGCCGCGAGGCUGGGUUUCGACCACGUUCACGCUUAGGAUGUCGGCUUUUAAUGGCUUCAAUCGACCCGUCUUGAAACACGGACCAAGGAGUCUAACAUGCCUGCGAGUGUUUGGGUGGAAAACCCUUGCGCACAAUGAAAGUGAAAGUUGAGAUCCCUGUCGUGGGGAGCAUUGACGCCCGGACCUGAGCUUUUAGCAAUGGAUCCGCGGUAGAGCAUGCAUGUUGGGACCCGAAAGAUGGUGAACUAUGCCUGAAUAGGGCAAAGCCAGAGGAAACUCUGGUGGAGGCUCGUAGCGAUUCUGACGUGCAAAUCGAUCGUCAAAUUUGGGUAUAGGGGCGAAAGACUAAUCGAACCAUCUAGUAGCUGGUUCCUGCCGAAGUUUCCCUCAGGAUAGCAGAAGCUCAUUAUCAGAUUUAUGUGGUAAAGCGAAUGAUUAGAGGCCUUGGGGUUGAAACAACCUUAACCUAUUCUCAAACUUUAAAUAUGUAAGAACGAGCUGUCACUUGAUUGGACUGCUCGGUGAUUGAGAGCUUCUAGUGGGCCAUUUUUGGUAAGCAGAACUGGCGAUGCGGGAUGAACCGAUCGCAAAGUUAAGGUGC